GUGAUUAAAUCGAGCGUGUCUUCAUUGACCGCUCACCCUUCUCACCAUCCACAUACACCUGUGCACUGUUUAGGCCUGAGCCGGUUUUCGCGGUCCAGGUUAUCAUUUCAUACAAACUCUAGUCUUAUGAAUGUAAACGUUUUAAUAACAUAAUAAAACCUUCAACAACGGAUCUCUUGGUUCUCGCAUCGAUGAAGAACGCAGCGAAAUGCGAUAAGUAAUGUGAAUUGCAGAAUUCAGUGAAUCAUCGAAUCUUUGAACGCCACCUUGCGCUCCUUGGUAUUCCGAGGAGCAUGCCUGUUUGAGUGUCAUGAAACUCUCACCCUCUAGCUUUCUUAAUCGUGGCUAGCGGCGUGGACGUGAGCGCUGCUGCUUUGUUGCGGCUCGCUCGAAAUGCAUUAGGCAGACCCUUUUCGUAAUCGGUUCCACUCAACGUGAUAAGUAUUUCGUUGAGGACAGCUGCAGCAAUGCGGCUGGCCGGGAUAAGAAAGGCAUAGUUGUCAGCUUCUAAUCGCCCCUUGGGCAAUUUUUUAUGAUCUGGCCUCAAAUCAGGUAGGACUACCCGCUGAACUUAAGCAUAUCAAUAAGCGGAGGAGAGGAAGUAAAAGUCGUAACAAGGUUUCCGUAGGUGAACCUGCCUGCGGAAGGAUCAUUACUGGGUUUUGAGUUUGUAUGAACUCGUCCACCCACCCCUUUGUCAUUUGCAAAUGAUCUCUUCGGUCGUUUGUUCACUCAAACGACCGGCAUUGCAAAACUCUUUGUUGUAAAAAUGAAGUCUGUCUUUUUUAUUGAAUUAAAA
rnacentral:misc_RNA from 1 species